GACGAACGCUGGCGGCGUGCCUAAUACAUGCAAGUCGAACGGAAAGGCCCUGCUCUUGCGGCGUGCUUGAUUGGCGAACGGGUGAGUAACACGCGUGUAACCUCCCCUUGUCUUUCGGAUAACUCUACGAAACUCGGGCUCAUAUCCGAUAGGAGCUCCUGCUGCACGGGGGGGGAUGGUAAGUUUCGGUCGUUGGGGAUCGACUCGCAGCUUACCCGCUGGUUGGUCGGGUUGUGGAUUACCAAGGCUAUGACGGAUAGCCGGCCUGAGAGGGUGACCGGCCACAUUGGGACUGAGGUACGGCGCAGACGCCUACGGGAGGCAGCAGUGGGAAAUAUUGCACAGUGGGCGGAAGCCUGAGACAGCAGCGCCGCGUGCGUGAUGACGGGCUACGGGUGGUAAACCGCUUUCGCCUGUGACGAAGCGUGAUUGACGGUAAUGGGUAAAGAAGCACCGGCUAACUACGUG
rnacentral:rRNA from 1 species